rnacentral:lncRNA from 1 species
AUUUUUUAAUCCACAUUAAAGACUAAGAAAACAAGCAUGCUUUGAAAUGGCCCUCUGCAUUGUCAAGUGAUUACCUGUACUUGAUAUUGCUAUUCUUCACAAAAUGAGAUAAUCCUGUUACCUGAUAACAUAAGAAACAAGUUGACUCCACAGAAGCAGCUGGAAAUGAAUAACCACAUGCUUAAAUCUCCUAGGAACAUGCUGUUUGGCAUAUACUGCUGAAAGUUCCUCAUAUUUAGGAGUGACAUACUUAUGUUGUGUCUCAGCUGGUGUGGAUGGGGGAAUAUUCAUUUCUCAGUGGUAACAUGGAAUUUGAUUUUAUAAAAUGUUUUUAUAUACAUUUAAUGGAUUGAAACACUUUGAAGAAAACAUACAUUUCUGGUC